GACGAACGCUGGCGGCGUGCCUAAUACAUGCAAGUAGAACGCUGAAGGAGGAGCUUGCUUCUCUGGAUGAGUUGCGAACGGGUGAGUAACGCGUAGGUAACCUGCCUGGUAGCGGGGGAUAACUAUUGGAAACGAUAGCUAAUACCGCAUAAUAGCAGUUGUUGCAUGACAACUGUUUGAAAGGUGCAAUUGCACCACUACCAGAUGGACCUGCGUUGUAUUAGCUAGUUGGUGGGGUAACGGCUCACCAAGGCGACGAUACAUAGCCGACCUGAGAGGGUGAUCGGCCACACUGGGACUGGGACACGGCCCAGACUCCUACGGGAGGCAGCAGUAGGGAAUCUUCGGCAAUGGACGGAAGUCUGACCGAGCAACGCCGCGUGAGUGAAGAAGGGUUUCGGAUCGGAAAGCUCUGUUGUAAGAGAAGAACGAGUGUGAGAGUGGAAAGUUCACACUGUGACGGUAUCUUACCAGAAAGGGACGGCUAACUACGUG
rnacentral:rRNA from 1 species